rfam:Aspergillus carbonarius ITEM 5010 unplaced genomic scaffold ASPCAscaffold_4, whole genome shotgun sequence.
GCGCCAAUCGUCUAGUGGUUAGGAUGCAACCUUCCCAAUACCCACAUUGAGAUCAGGUUGCGACGCGAGUUCGAAUCUCGCUUGGCGCA